rnacentral:rRNA from 1 species
GAUGAACGCUGGCGGCGUGCCUAAUACAUGCAAGUCGAGCGAACGGACGAGAAGCUUGCUUCUCUGAUGUUAGCGGCGGACGGGUGAGUAACACGUGGAUAACCUACCUAUAAGACUGGGCUAACUUCGGGAAACCGGAGCUAAUACCGGAUAAUAUUUUGAACCGCAUGGUUCAAAAGUGAAAGACGGUCUUGCUGUCACUUAUAGAUGGAUCCGCGCUGCAUUAGCUAGUUGGUAAGGUAACGGCUUACCAAGGCAACGAUGCAUAGCCGACCUGAGAGGGUGAUCGGCCACACUGGAACUGAGACACGGUCCAGACUCCUACGGGAGGCAGCAGUAGGGAAUCUUCCGCAAUGGGCGAAAGCCUGACGGAGCAACGCCGCGUGAGUGGUGAAGGUCCUCGGAUCGUAAAACUCUGUUAUUAGGGAAGAACAUAUGUGUAAGUAACUGUGCACAUCUUGACGGUACCUAAUCAGAAAGCCACGGCUAACUACGUG